CCUGGCGGCGUGCCUAAUCAUGCAAGUCUAGCGGACCAUUGGAGCUUGCUCCAUUGGUUUAGCGGCGGACGGGUGAGUAACACGUGGGCAACCUGCCCUGCAGAUCGGGAUAACUCCGGGAAACCGGUGCUAAUACCGAAUAGUUUGCGGCCUCUCCUGAGGCUGCACGGAAAGACGGUUUCGGCUGUCACUGCAGGAUGGGCCCGCGGCGCAUUAGCUAGUUGGUGGGGUAAUGGCCCACCAAGGCCACGAUGCGUAGCCGACCUGAGAGGGUGAUCGGCCACACUGGGACUGAGACACGGCCCAGACUCCUACGGGAGGCAGCAGUAGGGAAUCUUCCGCAAUGGACGCAAGUCUGACGGAGCAACGCCGCGUGAGUGACGAAGGUUUUCGGAUCGUAAAACUCUGUUGUGAGGGAAGAACACGUACCAAUUAACUACUGGUACCUUGACGGUACCUCACCAGAAAGCCACGGCUAACUACGUGCCAGCAGCCGCGGUAAU
rnacentral:rRNA from 1 species